rnacentral:rRNA from 1 species
AGAGUUUGAUCCUGGCUCAGAGCGAACGCUGGCGGCGCGCUUAACACAUGCAAGUCGAACGAGUGUAGCAAUACAUUCGUGGCGAACGGGUGCGUAACACGUGGAUAACCUUCCUUCCGGUGUGGAAUAACCCAGCGAAAGCUGGGCUAAUACCGCAUAACAUGACGAGAGCACCUGCUCUUGCCCUUAAAGCCGCAAGGCGCCAGAAGAGGGAUCCGCGGCCGAUUAGCUAGUUGGCGAGGUAACGGCUCACCAAGGCAAAGAUCGGUAGCCGGUCUGAGAGGAUGAUCGGCCACACUGGAACUGAGACACGGUCCAGACUCCUACGGGAGGCAGCAGUGGGGAAUCUUGCGCAAUGGGCGAAAGCCUGACGCAGCGACGCCGCGUGGGGGAUGAAGCUUCUCGGAGUGUAAACCCCUUUCGACCCGGACGAAAGCCCGCAAGGGUCUGACGGUACGGGUAUAAGAAGCCCCGGCUAACUACGUGCCAGCAGCCGCGGUAAAACGUAGGGGGCCAGCGUUGCUCGGAAUUACUGGGCGUAAAGGGUCCGUAGGCGGUGUGGCAAGUCGGUAGUGAAAUCUCCGGGCUUAACUCGGAGGCUGCUGCCGAAACUGCCGUGCUCGAGUGUGAGAGAGGCAAGUGGAAUUGCGGGUGUAGCGGUGAAAUGCGUAGAUAUCCGCAGGAACAUCCGAGGCGAAAGCGGCUUGCUGGAUCACAACUGACGCUGAGGGACGAAAGCUAGGGGAGCAAACAGGAUUAGAUACCCCCGUAGUCC